rnacentral:lncRNA from 1 species
AGUUGGUUUUUGCGACAUUCGACUGGCGACUUUCGUUUUGUUUUGUUGAUUUAGUUCUUUUGGGAGUCGCCACCUAGUAUUUUGGUCACUAGGAACCCUAACUGGUCUUUCAGAGAUUCUAAGGCAAGGGACUGGUUGCGUAAAGGGAAGGUAUUAGCACCCCUAGUACGCCCUACCUAAGGUAAGCUGCUUGGUGUUUGGUUUGCUUAUAAUUGCUAUGGUGUUAGGUAUUUUCUAGGCUCGUCAAUUGAUUUUGGAUAGAAAUCUAAGGAGAUUCCAUGUGCUUUGAAAGCUCAUUUUUCCCUUAGUAUUUCAAAAGUUUUGCGACUCAUAAAUCGUGAAAAAAAAAAAAUUAAAUUUUGAAAUGUCCUCGAUUAUAAUCAAGGCUUCUUUCAAGAAUGUGUGCGGAUUUAUUAUCCCAUAAUAUUUUGGAUAUUCAUCCUUUUAAGGAUUUCUUUAUCCAAACAUUAGCGGUAAAUAAUAAAUAAAUUUUUCCCAAAAAUAAGAUUUUUAUAGUUUUUUGAAUAUUGGCCAAUACCCUUUGGAAUUUUACAAACACGUUGUAAAAUCCAGAAAUGCAAGAAAAUAAUUUGUGUUUAAGAAAUCUAUGCGAAAACACACUUUCGAAGCUUCCAAUAUAUUUUUUUUAUAUAAAAAGAAUAUUCAAAACAUGUUAGAGUAUUGGCCGUAUGCAACACGCAAGAAAAUAUUUUUUUUUUAAAACAAUAUUUUUUUUUGACGAAAUCGGUAUUUUUAAUACUGAAUUUGUAUCUCCACAAUAAAAAUACAAACUAAUAUUAAGUCAUAAAAAAAUGUACAAAAAAUCAACAAUAUUUUUUAGGAAUUUUAGAAAUUUUUGAAAGCAAAAAAAAAAUUAUCUUUGAAAAUUUCGGGUGCUCGACGAAAAUCAGAUAUUUUAAAUACUGAAUUUAUACCUCCAUAGUAUAAAAAAAAUACAAACCCCAAAAAAUAUAUAUGAAAGGAAAAUAACAAAUUUUUUUUUAGAUUUUUUUUAGAUUUUUUACAAAUAUUUUAUAUAUAUAUAACAUAUACACAUAUAUAUAUAAUAUAAUAAUAUAAUAUAAUUAUAUAUUAAUUAUUAAGGGGCUGGGCCGGCCCAACUGAUUGGGCCGGGCUCAGCCCCACAGUGACUGGGCCGACCUCGGCCCAGAAAGGUAACUGGGCCGACCUCGGCCCAGGAAAGGUAACUGGGCCGACCUCGGCCCAGGAAAGGUUACUGGGCCGAAGUCGGCCCAAAACACAACUUGGUCUGGGCCGGACCCGGCCCAGACCGCUGGGUUGGGCCAGAACCCUUCUGGCCCAUAUACAUCGUUCCCGGCCAGACCGCUGGGUUGGGCCAGAACCCUUCUGGCCCAUAUAUAAAAUAUAACGGGGGGAAUUAAUUUCCCCCCGUCUCCUGCAUGCAGCACAAAUCUGCAUGCAGGAGAUGAGAAUUAGCAGAAGACGAGAGAAGAAAAAAAAAUGCAGGGGAGGGAACGUACCUGGCGAGGCUGGAGACGGUGGUUGGCUGACGGGGCUACGGUGGCGCGGCUCGUGGAUGGCGGUUUCGGGCGGCGUUGCUGCUGUUUCAGUGGCGAAAAAUUCUUCUUCCUCCCUUCUCCUUCGUUUUUUUUCGUUCUCAGUGGCUGCCUAUUCUCGGUUCGGUUUUGGUUUUGUUUCGGUUUCCUUCUUCUUGGUUUGGUUCUGUUUCUCUCUCUCUUCGGGUCACUCUCUCUCUCUUUCUCUCUUCGGGUCUUUCGGUUUUUUCUCCUUUUUUCCUCUUCGGUUUUUCUUCUUUAUUUAUAGGGGAGCACGGGUGGGGACCGUGGUUAGUGCGCCUUCAAUCACGCAUGGCUGGUCGGUUCUUUCGGUGGUGGUGGUGGGGGCGAGGAGAGAGAGAGACGCGGGAGAUUUUUUCAAAAUUUUUUCCUUCUGUUCUGCUAAAACGGGGGGGGAAGGAGAUGAUGAACAGUGUCGUUCAAAACGACACCGUUCUGCUUUCCUUUUUUUUUUUUUUUUUUUUUUUGUAUAUGAAACGGCGUCGUUUUGAAUAAAACGCGCCGUUUCAUUUAAAUGGCCAAACUUCAAAUCAGUCCUCCAAAUUCGGUCCCCGCCCUUCUUGUUGGCCGCCUUUUUCAUUUUGGUCCUUGGCCUCUGAUUUAUGCAAUUUAGCCCUCAAUUGAUUAAUAAACUUUCAAUUUCUUCAAUUAAGCCCCUGAACAAAAAUUAGCAGCCCCUCCAUUUACGCGCCUCUUCCAAUUGGUCCCUGGUUUCGGAUUUUCUCAAUUAAGUCCUAAUUGGCCCUUAAACUUCAAUUUUAUGCAAUUGAGCCCCUGAUUUGACCCAAUAAAUUCCUAAAAAAUAUAUUUUGGCCCCAGAACUUAAAUUUCUCCAAAUUAAAGCCCAAAUUGACUUAAAAAUCAAUUUUUCUUGGAAUCAAAUCUUCUAUAAAUUCAAAUAAAAAUCCAAUUAAGUCCAUAAAAAUCCAAUUAAGCCAUAAAAAUCCAAUUAAGCCAUAAAAAUCCAAAUUUGGGCUUUUCUCCUAAAAUUCAAAUUUUUCUUCUCAAUAGGGCUUUCAUCCUUCAAGAAUAUACUGUCAAAAAUUCAAUCCUUGUAUUUUUAAAUUCCUUGACCAAUUUUCUGACUGUUUUCCGGGCGCUUCUGCCUCCGGUUAUUUUUCUAACCUCUUUUGGCUAUUUAUUUUAUUUUUCAGGGGGACCCAAAAAUGGGUUACAACAGAUGCCCCCUCUUUAUAAUACUUACGGAGCAUGGGUUUUGCGCAGUAAGUGUUAUAAAGAUAAACCCAAAACGGAACUCCCGAAACUGAUCUGGUCGAAGCUUGAUUGAUCUGAAACUUUGUCCUUUAUAACAAUCCUCCUUAGCCCCAAAAAAACCAUGAUCGAAACUUAGUCAUCUCGAGAUCCUUAUCCAGCGAUCCUCUGAAUUCUUAUUUUAGUUUGAUCAACAUGGAAAUCCAUCCGAGAUCCUAUCUAGUGAUCUUCUUUAACCUGGAAUCCCAUCCGGCGAUUCCUUUACUCAUAACCAAUACAAAAAAUGUGUGUGUGGUCUCAUUAUGAUGGGUGACCUGCCCGAGUGGAAAAGAGAAAGAGGUCUCAUUCUUUGGGUGACCUACCCAGGUAAAAAAAAAUGGAAAACGGUCUCAUUCUUAUGGGUGACCUACCCAGAAAAUAUGGUCUCAUUGUGAUGGGUGACCUACCCAGAAAAUAUGGUCUCAUUGUGAUGGGUGACCUACCCAGAAAAAGGAAGAGUGGUCUCAUUCUUUGGGUGACCUACCCAGGGGAAGGAAUGGCCUCAUUCUUAUGGGUGACCUACCCAGGUAAAAAAAAAUGGAGAACGGUCUCAUUCUUAUGGGUGACCUACCCAGAAAAUAUGGUCUCAUUGUGAUGGGUGACCUACCCAUAAAAUAUGGUCUCAUUGUGAUGGGUGACCUACCCAGAAAAAGGAAGAGUGGUCUCAUUCUUUGGGUGACCUACCCAGGGGAAGGAAUGGCCUCAUUCUUAUGGGUGACCUACCCAGGUAAAAAAAAAAUGGAGAACGGUCUCAUUCUUAUGGGUGACCUACCCAGAAAAUAUGGUCUCAUUGUGAUGGGUGAUCUACCCAGAAAAAGGAAGAGUGGUCUCAUUCUUUGGGUGACCUACCCAGGGGAAGGAAAUGUGAUGAAGUGGUCUCGUUGUGAUGGGCGACCUACCCAAAUAGAAAGAAUAUGAAGUGCGGUCUCAUUGUAAUGGGUGACCUACCCAGAAAAUGUUGGAGAGGACUCAAAGGCGCACUCGAAAAGAGGUAGGGUUUAGAAAACGCACUACCCGAGCAGUGAGGGCUCAAACAACGCACUCGAAAAGAGGUAGGGUUAGAAAACGCACUACCUGAAAAGUGAGGGCUCAAACAACGCACUCGAAAAGAGGUAGGGUUAGAAAACGUACUACCCAAAAAGUGAGGGCUCAAACAACGCACUCGAAAAGAGGUAGGGUUAGAAAACGCACUACCCAAAAAGUGAGGGCUCAAACAACGCACUCGAAAAGAGGUAGGGUUAGAAAACGCACUACCUGAGAAAUGGUGAUGAAAUCCCGAUCUGACAAAUGUUGAAAGCAAUAUAUUAUGGUUAAUAUGCAUGUAUGUUUUUGUUACCUAUCUUGGAAACAUAGGUCCCCCUUUCGUCGUAAACCUCUUCGCUCUUGUUUCAAGCUUUUCUCAUGAAACGAAAUAUCCUUCCUUAAUAAUUCCUGUCGCACCCCCAAAAAAAAAAAUAAUAAAAAAGUUGGUUUUUGCGACAUUCGACUGACGACUUUCGUUUUGUUUUGUUGAUUUAGUUCUUUUGGGAGUCGCCACCUAGUAUUUUGGUCACUAGGAACCCUAACUGGUCUUUCAGAGAUUCUAAGGCAAGGGACUGGUUGCGUAAAGGGAAGGUAUUAGCACCCCUAGUACGCCCUACCUAAGGUAAGCUGCUUGGUGUUUGGUUUGCUUUAUAAUUGCUAUGGUGUUGGUAUUUUCUAGGCUCAUCAAUUGAUUUUGGAUAGAAAUCUAAGGAGAUUCCAUGUGCUUUGAAAGCUCAUUUUUC